rnacentral:tRNA from 1 species
UCCUAGAAUGACAGGCCUUGAUCCUGUAACAAUUUAGUUAACAGCUAAAAACUCUAUCCAGCGAGCUUCAUUCU